rnacentral:rRNA from 1 species
CGUAGGGUGCGAGCGUUAAUCGGAAUUACUGGGCGUAAAGCGUGCGCAGGCGGGCUUUUAAGCCAGACGUGAAAUCCCCGGGCUUAACCUGGGAAUGGCGUUUGGGACUGGAAGUCUGGAGUGCGGCAGAGGAGACUGGAAUUCCUGGUGUAGCAGUGAAAUGCGUAGAUAUCAGGAGGAACACCGAUGGCGAAGGCAGGUCUCUGGGCUGACACUGACGCUCAUGCACGAAAGCGUGGGGAGCAAACAGGAUU